rnacentral:lncRNA from 1 species
UAAUGUUAUGGACGGCACUAUUUUCGCCCCAAAACAGGCUCAAAACAGCUCCAAAAUGCUUCCGGAACAGUCCAGCGUGCCCUGGAAGGCCCUGGAAGACUCUAGAAUUGUGCAGAUUGUUGAAGACAAGCCUAGAAUCAUGUGGAGGCUUCUAGAUUCGUCCAUGGGCAGCAAGGGCAGCCAACUUGUGUAAAUAUCUUAGAUAUUUACUUAGGUAGAGUCUAGAGACUUAAUUGUAGCCGUCGGAUCAAAUUGAUCCCAACCGUCCAUUUAGGU